rnacentral:rRNA from 1 species
AGUGAACGCUGGCGGCGUGCCUAAUACAUGCAAGUCGAACGAAGUGGCGCACGGGUGAGUAAUAUAUAGUUAAUCUGCCCUACACAGAGGAACAACAGUUGGAAACGACUGCUAAUACCUCAUAGUGUAGGAUGAGACUAUAUCGUAUCAGCUAGUUGGUAAGGUAAUGGCUUACCAAGGCUAUGACGCGUAACUGGUCUGCGAGGAUGAUCAGUAAAAUUGGAACGGAGACACGAGCAAAACUCCUACGGGAGGCGGCAGUAAGGUAAAUUGCGCAAUGGGGGAAACCCUGACGGAGCUACGCCGCGUGGAGGAUGACACUUUUCGGAGCAUAAACUCCUUUUAUCAGGAAAGCGGUACCUGAUGAAUAAGCACCGGCUAACUCCGUGCCAGCCGCCGCGGUAAUUC